rnacentral:rRNA from 1 species
AUUGAACGCUGGCGGCAGGCCUAACACAUGCAAGUCGAACGAGUGGCGGACGGGUGAGUAAUGUCUGGGAAACUGCCCGAUGGAGGGGGAUAACUACUGGAAACGGUAGCUAAUACCGCAUACCAUCGGAUGUGCCCAGCUGGGAUUAGCUAGUAGGUGGGGUAACGGCUCACCUAGGCGACGCGCCCUAGCUGGUCUGCGAGGAUGACCAGCCACACUGGAACUGAGAAAAGGUCCAGACGCCUACGGGAGGCAGCAGUGGGGAAUAUUGCACAAUGGGCGCAAGCCGGAUGCAGCCAUGCCGCGGGUAGUAAGAAGGCUUUCGGGUUGUAAAGUACUUUUAGCGAGGAGGCGUUACUCUCAGAAGAAGCACCGGCUAACUCCGUGCCAGCAGCCGCGGUAAUAC